UAAUUACUCCCUUCGUUCAAAAAUACUUGUCGUGGAAAUAGAUGUAUCUAGAUGUAUUUUAGUUAUAGAUACAUUCAUUUGUAGCUAUUUUUUUAUAAGUAAUUUUGGAUGAAGGGAAUAGUAG
rnacentral:pre_miRNA from 1 species